CUGCGUACAAAGAAGAACAUUUGGCUGCCGCCGCACAACUACCAGCCACACACACAAUCACGCUGGGAACCUGCCAUUUUGCGCCCGCCGCCGCUAUCCACGGCCCAGAUCCGGUCCCGGAGGGGCCCGCAAACGCAGCCAAGGUGUCGUGCGGGUGGGAGCUGUUAGACCUCGGACUGGUCCUGGACCGGGGCCCUCUGCAGGAAAAGGUCGCUGCCGUGCGUGGCGUCGCUCAUGUGGUCCGAGUUGGCUGGCGAAAUGGGCGACGGCUGCUGGAAGCCUGACGAGGGCGAGUGGUGGUUGACGGCGGCGAAGGGCGAGAACUCGGUGGUCUGCCACUGCCUCGACAGCAGACUGUUGAUGGCCUGCGAGUUCUGCAGCAGUCCUGAGGCCGUCGACAUAGAGUAGUUGCUCAGCACGGACGAGGCCACCGCGGCCGCGGCGGCUGCUUUGCUGCUGGGUCUCCGGUACGAACAGUCUGCGAAAGUGGAGGAAUUCAGUUUAUUUUAUUUCCAUCUCGCAAGAGUUGAGAUAAAAAGAGAAGCAGACCAGUUUUAGCGAGAAGAUCAUAUGCAACCGACGCUUCAUGCCUGCUGAGCAAUUUGCCUAAUUCUGAGUUCUGAAGGGGUGCUUUGUUGAAAAGCUCGGAAAUUGUGAUGAGUUGCUUCGUUUUUUUAUCUGAAAAUGUAUUUUUCUCGUUUUCAUUUUUUUCUAAAUUAAAAUUUGCUCACGUCAAAUGCAAAUCAA